AACUUAAAUGAAUUGACGGACCCCGCACAAGCGUGGAUUUAUGUUGUUUAAUUCGACGCAACGCGAAGAACCUUACCAGGCCUUGACAUACUCGGCAAAGCUCUAGAGAUAGAGUGGAGGUUAUCCGGGAUACAGGUGGUGCAUGGUUGUCGUCAGCUCGUGUCGUGAGAUGUUGGGUUAAGUCCCGCAACGAGCGCAACCCUUGUCUUUAGUUACCAUCAUUCAGUUGGGGACUCUAGAGAGACUGCCGGUGAUAAACCGGAGGAAGGUGGGGAUGACGUCAAAUCAUCAUGCCCCUUAUGGCCUGGGCUACAAACGUAAUACAAUGGCGUAUACAAAGGGAUGCGAAAGGGCGACCUGGAGCAAAACUCACAAAGUACGUCUCAGUUCAGAUUGGAGUCUGCAACUCGACUCCAUGAAGGCGGAAUCGCUAGUAAUCGCGGAUCAGCAUGCCGCGGUGAAUACGUUCUCGGGGUUU
rnacentral:rRNA from 1 species